GCAGAGCACUCCAAACCAGAACCUAAAUGGUAGAGCAACAAACAGCAGCCUGUGCGGGAAGAUAAUGAAAUUUACAAAGCUUCUAGGAAGGCCCAUCUCAAGUCCUUGCAGCUGAGAGAAUCUGAGCCUGCCACCUCAGAAGUGCCUAAGGAUGGUUGUGAGCAUGUGUGGAUGACUUCUUCAGGAGCCGGACAGCAGUACCGUGGGUGUGAGUGAGUGUGGGUGCUUGUGUGGAGAACAAGGACAACUUUUGGGAAUCGAUUCUCUUACCAUCCACAGAUCCUCCUGCAUCCUCCUGCUUCCGAAAUGCUGGGAUCAAUGUCUACCAGAAAGCAUCCGAACUUGGGGAUCAUGGUACAUCACUUCUGUAAUCUCAGAGCUGCAGACGCCGAGGCCAGAGGAUCAGGAGCACAAGGCCAUCCUCGAGUCUAUGGAGAAUUUUGGUUUCUUUUAAAACCCAGUUAUGUUGUGGGAAUGAGUGUGUGUGUGUGUGUUGUGUGUGUGUCUAUACCUAUCUAUCUUGCCCCAGAGAACCAGAACCCCUAAUCAUCAAGAAGUAGUCUAUAUACACCCCCUUUCUCCUCUAACUUCUUUCUCUCCAACCUACUGUUGGGGUUUGUAAUAAAAGUCGGGAGGUAGACGUAUAAGAACCUAAUAAAGUAGUUUUUUUUUUUUUUAAAAAA
rnacentral:lncRNA from 1 species